UGUGAGUUUUCUGAGAGUGUCUCAUAUCUAAAACUUUUUCUUCUACUUCUCAUCUUUAUAAGAGUCUAAAUUAAGAAGAAGAAAGCAUCUGAUCGACCAUCGAAGAAGGAUCAGCACAGUACUAGCAUACUGUGCUGAUUUCUUAGACCAGGACUUCUGAUCGUGAUUCGUCAGCUCGUGUGGACGACUCCUAGAGGCUGGACGUGUGUGUGGCUCACAACAUCAUCCUCAAACCUGGAUCAGCAAAGUUAGAACGUCUAACUUACAAGGUAAUAAAUCUGAUC
rnacentral:lncRNA from 1 species